AUUGAACGCUGGCGGCAUGCCUUACACAUGCAAGUCGAACGGUAACAGGUCUUCGGAUGCUGACGAGUGGCGAACGGGUGAGUAAUACAUCGGAACGUGCCCGAUCGUGGGGGAUAACGGAGCGAAAGCUUUGCUAAUACCGCAUACGAUCUACGGAUGAAAGCAGGGGACAGCAAGGCCUUGCGCGGACGGAGCGGCCGAUGGCAGAUUAGGUAGUUGGUGGGAUAAAAGCUUACCAAGCCGACGAUCUGUAGCUGGUCUGAGAGGACGACCAGCCACACUGGGACUGAGACACGGCCCAGACUCCUACGGGAGGCAGCAGUGGGGAAUUUUGGACAAUGGGCGAAAGCCUGAUCCAGCCAUGCCGCGUGCAGGAUGAAGGCCUUCGGGUUGUAAACUGCUUUUGUACGGAACGAAAAGACUCUUUCUAAUAAAGAGGGUCCAUGACGGUACCGUAAGAAUAAGCACCGGCUAACUACGUG
rnacentral:rRNA from 1 species